rnacentral:rRNA from 1 species
AGCGAACGCUGGCGGCAGGCUUAACACAUGCAAGUCGAGCGGGUGUAGCAAUACAUCAGCGGCAGACGGGUGAGUAACGCGUGGGAACGUACCUUUUGGUUCGGAACAACACAGGGAAACUUGUGCUAAUACCGGAUAAGCCCUUACGGGGAAAGAUUUAUCGCCGAAAGAUCGGCCCGCGUCUGAUUAGCUAGUUGGUAGGGUAACGGCCUACCAAGGCGACGAUCAGUAGCUGGUCUGAGAGGAUGAUCAGCCACAUUGGGACUGAGACACGGCCCAAACUCCUACGGGAGGCAGCAGUGGGGAAUAUUGGACAAUGGGGGCAACCCUGAUCCAGUCAUGCCGCGUGAGUGAUGAAGGCCCUAGGGUUGUAAAGCUCUUUUGUGCGGGAAGAUAAUGACGGUACCGCAAGAAUAAGCCCCGGCUAACUUCGUGCCAGCAGCCGCGGUAACAC